AGCUCGUGUCGUGAGAUGUUGGGUUAAGUCCCGCAACGAGCGCAACCCUUGUCCUUAGUUACCAGCACGUUAUGGUGGGAACUCUAAGGAGACUGCCGGUGACAAACCGGAGGAAGGUGGGGAUGACGUCAAGUCAUCAUGGCCCUUACGGCCAGGGCUACACACGUGCUACAAUGGUCGGUACAAAGGGUUGCCAAGCCGCGAGGUGGAGCUAAUCCCAUAAAACCGAUCGUAGUCCGGAUCGCAGUCUGCAACUCGACUGCGUGAAGUCGGAAUCGCUAGUAAUCGUGAAUCAGAAUGUCACGGUGAAUACGUUCCCGGGCCUU
rnacentral:rRNA from 1 species